GGUGGUUACUAAAAAUAGCCAGAUAGGGAAUCGACAUGGCGCGGGUAAUACCAAAGUGUCCCUCUCUUAUCUUAUGCUCUUUUGGUAAGAAGAAAUCAAAGCAUGGAGUUGUUAGAAUUAAUGUGAUGAGAUAGAACUGACUAAAUGAUGUAAGCUCCUUUGUUUUUCAAUACAGGAUUCGCAAAACUCGGGUAGCGUUGCAUUGUGGGUAGGGUGUACAAACGGGAACAGAUCGAGCGCAUGUUAUAAGGAUCUGACUUGGAGUCGAAAUUCGUCAAAAUUGCCUCGUCCCCGCGAGCGCAAAAACAAGGUCCCUUCCGUGGCAGGGAGCGUCGAAAUUUGCUGCACUAAUCUCGAAAAGUUUUUGCCGUGGUCGAACACGUAGAUUAGGGCAAAAAACGUGCCCUUAACAUCAAAGUCAGAGCAAAAAAAAUUCACACAUCUCAGGGCAGAGAAAACUAGUUAAGGGCCUUUUUUACCCUUUUCAAAUUCUACGCAGCCACAGGUACACAGGAUGUUUUUGCGCUUGCUGGGAUGAUGAAAUUUUGACGUUUGCCAAAUUCUCUGGUAAGAGUUUAAAUCGUAAAUCUUAAAAAAGGCGCUUUAAUACGGCCAGAGAACAAACAAAAAGUAAACAUAAACAGAUCACUAGAAUACACAAUUCUUUUCAACAAGCUGUUUUUAAUUUUUCACUAAUUUUGUUUUUCGUCCUAUGUUUACCGUAAAUAUCAAUAGGGACAAAUAAAGAGCUUGGGCUACCUGUGAUUAGUGUAUGUACGACAAGGACGAUCUUGUGCUAACAAUAGGGGACUUGCGCCUAGAGAUCACACGACUAUUUCGGUGGCAAACUAGCGCGCGAUCAGGCUUUUAGCGGCAAAAUAACAGCAACUAAAAAGCCUCUAAUUCAGCGCUUACUAAAAAAGCCAGACUUCUUUUCAGAAAGGGUUCAGUUCUCUGCGUGUGACGGGCGCAGUCAUAUCUGGGAUUAUUUUGGUUUGAAUUUAUUUGCGCCACCAAGAAAAGUCACGUGAUCUCUUAGAGCAAGUCCCCUAUUUGCUGAUGACAUCAUAUUGCUAUAAUACACAUCCCCCACCCCACCCCCACUUGCGGUAAUCAGUUUUUGGGGAGCGCACUAGACGGACCGGUUGGUGUACGAACAUGGCCCAAUUCCCGUGAUGAUUUAUGCACCCCAAUUUUUUCCCGUGAUGCUUAGCGCGGGCUAUUCUUAGAUAUGACUAUGAUUUUCGAGACCUUUUUGAAUGGGCAGUCUAAAUUACUUAUAUUGCGAAACAGAAACACGUACUUGAAAUCUCAUUUAUAACUUACAAGGGCAGUGGUCUAGCUCACCGCCGUUUUCAUCAUUUUGGCCCCUGGUUCGACUUCUCUCACAAACUUCUGCCAUUGGAAACUUAGCUAUUAUAUUGCCUCGAAAUAUUCCGCAAUUAGGCUAAGUUUUAAAGUACACGCUCACCUAAAAGUACAAUUUUUGUAUUAGUAGAAAGCAUUAUUGCGUUAUUCACAUUUUUUGUAAAGAUCUUUUUAAAAUAUUUGAAUAUGAAAAAGAUUAAAAACACUUUGAGUGAGUCAAAAAUCAUUUUAAAAACAUUAUACUUUCGGAGUAGAUACAUAUAGAAGAUGAAUAUUUGGGAAAUGGCAUAGCAGUCCACUUUCCUCUGUUUUGUUGUCGCUAGCAAUCUUUCAAUUGAGGGUAAUGAAUAGAAUUAGUACUUCAUUGUGGAAAGUUGUUUGGCAGCGAGAAUGACAUUUUAAUGAGCUUCAAAUCUAUGCAUUAUCCAAAGUACAUUUUCAAGCACGAACAGCGAAAAAAACCUACCACGCACAUGACUCAUGACUCAUGACGUACUCUAUAAGAAAAAAAAAAGAUUACGGAUUAUAAAUACGAAUGUUUUAUCUUUCAAAGACUUGGUAUUGUUUGAAUAGUCAGGUAAAAUAAGUAAAAUUGUUAUGGCGUGCUGAUAUAAUUUUGAGUUUAAAUAGCCGUGAUUGUAUCUCGAUGUUUAUAUUGGCGCCCGAAACUUGCCUUAGUCUCCCCAUUUCCCGGGUUUCAACCGCAGCCUGGCGAAAACAUGUCAUCUACCAAUGAGGAGAGUACAUUUAGAGUGAUUGAUAGGGGCUAUUAUGCCGAAAAGAGCGGUAGUCGACCAUAUAACACUUGAUGGGCUUCUUUACUCUACGAGACAUACUCUUUCGAUUAUUUUAUAAUCUGUGAUCCUAUCAUACAACCAUUGGCAAACAUCAACUCGGGAAAAUUUUAUUUGGAAAUUGCGUGGAUUUGCCAGGAUCUAUAUCAAGAAAAAGGUUGGAGCAUUGCGUGACAACAUGUCCUUCACAUAUACACUCUUUUUCAUCGAGUUCGAGACAUCCAGAGACUUCCUACGUGACAUUGCCUUUCCAAAUCGGAGCAAAGUCGAGAUCCACGUUUAUUACCAAAAAGACACCAACCUAAACGAACUCAAAACAACGGUACCCGAGCUCUUCUACGAAGACGGCCGAGCAGUUGCCGUUAAACAUGUUUCACUCACGUCAUCUCCGAAAGCUGUCGAAGAUGCUCUAGUGUACGCGGCAAGCACAUACGAUUACUCACGUUUUAAAAAGCCGGAUGUUUAUCUCGUGUCGGGCGAGUGUCGGCGAUACGAGGAGCUGGCGAAGAUUCUCCGACGCGACAAGCGAGUUUCGGCGUGGAUGAUUGACGGCAGACGGACAUCGUUGGUUGACUGGGUAGAUACAUCACUAGUAUGUAAAACUUGCAGGAUAAUAUUCGAUAACGCCAAGCAGGGCGGCGAACAUUACGAAGGCACGCAUGCCCGGUAGACUCUGCACGACAUGCGCAUAACCAAGCAAAAACAAUUGUAAUGUUGUAAACACUUUUUUUAGUAUAUAGAGAAAUUGCUCUAACAGCUCUAAAGUGUGUAGUUACGAGUUGGAACGCUUCAUUAUUCACCGUUAUGCUCAGGAUAGUUCUCGAAGGGCAACAGCUUUGGAAAGCUAGAAAAUAGUCAAAAUCAUAAGAAAUAACCAAGAUAACCAUCAAAGGUUUAUUAACUCUAAAAUAGACCUUUGAUAUUCGAGAUAAAGAAUAAUGUGGUUUGAACGUCUAACUUCAAGAGGAUGGAAAAGGAUUGAAAAUAAUGACUUAAAAUCUCGGUAAAGGCUGCGGUUCUUAAAAAACUACAGUAGGUGCCCCGUAUAUUUUAUUUCACGGAUACUUUGUUUCGUUUCCGUAGCAGGGGCACUUGGGGUAUGUUCCCCCGUCACCAAUAAAUUUGAAAGCCAUAAAAUUUCAAUCCGCCGUACAGUUUUUUCCCCUACUUUGCUCUUGGUAGCGACCCCUACUUAGUUUCUCGAUAGUCCCGUUCAUAGUAAAAGGAUGCGUGUUGAUAUAAUAAAGAAAUUACGAAACGGA